AUGAACGCUGGCGGCGUGCCUAAUACAUGCAAGUCGAGCGAACAGACGAGGAGCUUGCUCCUCUGACGUUAGCGGCGGACGGGUGAGUAACACGUGGAUAACCUACCUAUAAGACUGGGAUAACCUCGGGAAACCGGAGCUAAUACCGGAUAAUAUAUUGAACCGCAUGGUUCAAUAGUGAAAGACGGUUUUGCUGUCACUUAUAGAUGGAUCCGCGCCGCAUUAGCUAGUUGGUAAGGUAACGGCUUACCAAGGCAACGAUGCGUAGCCGACCUGAGAGGGUGAUCGGCCACACUGGAACUGAGACACGGUCCAGACUCCUACGGGAGGCAGCAGUAGGGAAUCUCCCGCAAUGGGCGAAAGCCUGACGGAGCAACGCCGCGUGAGUGAUGAAGGUCUUCGGAUCGUAAAACUCUGUUAUUAGGGAAGAACAAAUGUGUAAGUAACUAUGCACGUCUUGACGGUACCUAAUCAGAAAGCCACGGCUAACUACGUG
rnacentral:rRNA from 1 species